GGCUAUCAUGCAAGUUCGAGCGCGCCCUUCGGGGUGAGCGGCGGACGGGUGAGUCCCCCUUUGGGAAUAUGCCCUUCUCUAAGGAAUAGCCUCUGGAAACGGAGAGUAAUACCUUAUACGCCCUUUGGGGGAAAGAUUUAUCGGAGAAGGAUUAGCCCGCGUUAGAUUAGGUAGUUGGUGGGGUAAUGGCCUACCAAGCCUACGAUCUAUAGCUGGUUUGAGAGGAUGAUCAGCCACACUGGGACUGAGACACGGCCCAGACUCCUACGGGAGGCAGCAGUAGGGAAUCUUAGACAAUGGGGGCAACCCUGAUCUAGCCAUGCCGCGUGUGUGAUGAAGGCCCUAGGGUCGUAAAGCACUUUCGCCAGAGAUGAUAAUGACAGUAUCUGGUAAAGAAACCCCGGCUAACUCCGUGCCAGCAGCCGCGGUAAUACGGAGGGGGUUAGCGUUGUUCGGAAUUACUGGGCGUAAAGCGCACGUAGGCGGAUUAGUAAGUUAGAGGUGAAAUCCCAGGGCUCAACCCUGGAACUGCCUUUAAUACUGCUAGUCUUGAGUUCGAGAGAGGUAAGUGGAAUUCCGAGUGUAGAGGUGAAAUUCGUAGAUAUUCGG
rnacentral:rRNA from 1 species